GACGAACGCUGGCGGCGUGCCUAAUACAUGCAAGUAGAACGCAGUUGCGAACGGGUGAGUAACGCGUAGGUAACUGCCUCAUAGCGGGGGAUAACUAUUGGAAACGAUAGCUAAUACCGCAUACUGUGAGAUGGACCUGCGUUGUCUUAGCUAGUUGGUGAGGUAAAGGCUCACCAAGGCGACGAUACAUAGCCGACCUGAGAGGGUGACAGGACAAACUGGGACGGGGACCCGGCCCAGACCUCUGCGGGGGGCAGCAGGAGGGAAUCGUCGGCAAUGGAGGGAAGUCUUACCGAGCAACGCCGCGUGAGUGAAGGAGGUUUUCGGAUCGUAAAGCUCUGUUGUUAGAGAAGCGGUAACUACCCAGAAAGGGACGGCUAACUACGUGCCAGCAGCCGCGGUAAUUC
rnacentral:rRNA from 1 species